UGGGGAAUAUUGCGCAAUGGGGGAAACCCUGACGCAGCAACGCCGCGUGGGUGAAGAAGGCCUUCGGGUUGUAAAGCCCUUUCGGCCGGGAAGAAGGGUGUGUGGGUAAAUAAUCCAUACAUUUGAUGGUACCGGAGGAAGAAGCACCGGCAAACUUCGUGCCAGCAGCCGCGGUAAUACGAAGGGUGCAAGCGUUGUUCGGAAUUAUUGGGCGUAAAGGGUUCGUAGGUGGGAAUGUAAGUUGAUUGUGAAAACCCUGGGCUUAACCUGGGACGUGCAGUCAAAACUAUAUUUCUUGAGAUUUGGAGAGGGUGACGGAAUUGCUGGUGUAGGAGUGACAUCCGUAGAGAUCAGCAGGAACGCCGGAGGCGAAAGCGGUCGCCUGGCCAAAAUCUGACACUGAGGAACGAAAGCGUGGGGAGCAAACAGG
rnacentral:rRNA from 1 species